rnacentral:rRNA from 1 species
UACGUAGGGUGCAAGCGUUGUCCGGAAUUAUUGGGCGUAAAGGGCGCGUAGGCGGCCUGCUAAGUCAUACGUGAAAUCCCUCGGCUCAACCGAGGAACUGCGUCUGAUACUGGUUGGCUUGAAUUCGGGAGAGGGAUGCGGAAUUCCAGGUGUAGCGGUGAAAUGCGUAGAUAUCUGGAGGAACACCGGUGGCGAAGGCGGCAUCCUGGACCGAGAUUGACGCUGAUGCGCGAAAGCCAGGGGGACGACAAG